GGAGGGGCAGCCGGGGAGGCAGCGGAGCGAAGCAGCUUCCUCCUCGGCCCGCUCACGGCUCUGUGCUAGCACAGGCGCCGUCCCGCUCCCACCCACGUGUUUCGCGACCGCUUUUCCACGCACAGACAGGGGAUUUAGAAAAGGAAUACAUUUCUGUCCUAGAAGCAGCAUCUGAUGUCCUGCACCUGCCAGUGGGAACGUUGAAUCAAGAACAAGUUGCUGUAUCUUACCUGUUGGACUCAGCAGCUGUAACAGCAAUCAGAGGAGAGGGAAAAUUGGAUGAGCAGUUGGCAGAACUGGAAAAAAGAAGCUAAACAAAGAUGUGAAGAUCUGUCUCAUUUUUACUCAAGCAUGAAAGUGACUAUGUUCUUCAAGAACACAGAAGGAUACUUUUGCAAUAUA